rnacentral:rRNA from 1 species
GUUAAGCGACUAAGCGUACACGGUGGAUGCCCUGGCAGUCAGAGGCGAUGAAGGGCGUGCUAAUCUGCGAUAAGCGCCGGUAAGGUGAUAUGAACCGUUAUAACCGGCGAUACCCGAAUGGGGAAACCCAGUGUGACUCGUCACACUAUCAUUAACUGAAUCCAUAGGUUAAUGAGGCGAACCGGGGGAACUGAAACAUCUAAGUACCCCGAGGAAAAGAAAUCAACCGAGAUUCCCCCAGUAGCGGCGAGCGAACGGGGAGGAGCCCAGAGCCUGAAUCAGCAUGUGUG